CCUACGGGCGGCAGCAGUGAGGAAUAUUGGUCAAUGGACGCAAGUCUGAACCAGCCAUGCCGCGUGCAGGAAGACGGCUCUAUGAGUUGUAAACUGCUUUUGUACGAGGGUAAACGCAGAUACGCGUAUCUGUCUGAAAGUAUCGUACGAAUAAGGAUCGGCUAACUCCGUGCCAGCAGCCGCGGUAAUACGGAGGAUUCAAGCGUUAUCCGGAUUUGUUGGGGUUAAAGGGUGCGUAGGCGGUCGGAUAAGUUAGAGGUUAAAUCCCGAGGCUCAACUUCGGAAUUGCCGCUGAUACUGUUCGGCUAGAGAGGAGUUGCGGUAGGCGGAAUGUAUGGUGUAGCGGUGAAAUGCAUAGAGAUCAUACAGAACACCGAUUGCGAAGGCAGCUUACCAAACUACGACUGACGUUGAGGCACGAAAGCGUGGGGAGCAAACAGGAUUAGAUACCCGUGUAGUC
rnacentral:rRNA from 1 species